UUAAAAGCUAGGGUCGACCUCUGCCGGAUAUCAGCUUAAUGAGGAAGGAUGAAAACGUGAGGGCGUUCAAUACCAACUGGUAUCAAAAGUAUAGUUGGUUAACCAAGCCGCCUGUAUUGCUGGCCUUGCCUGCUUUUUGGAAAGUCUGCAACCUUGGUCGAAAGGUGGGUACAGUGACCUGAAGAACAUCGAUCAUUCAGCUAAACUGCAAAACACAUGUAGGGAGUAUAUAAAUGCCCACAUCAGAUUCAAGUUUCUGGGAAAAAGCUGCAUCGAUCAUGACGAAGGUCUGCGUUUUCAAACCGCUACCAAGCUGCUUAUCAACACCACGGCGUUUUGGGGCAUGCAAUCAUUUGCUUUUAGAGGACAUGACGAGAGGAAAAGCACUGCCAACAAGGGCAACUACAAGGAGCUUGCAGAGGGCCCAUGGUGUAAAAAUUGUCCCACCGCUCUGGGACCUAUGGUGCCACCAGUCUGCUUGCAGUUGUCAGUUAUCGUCAGCUAACUCUCCUCCUGUUCCCUGAUUUUUAAGAGUCAAAUCCUGUCCGGCACUUGUCAAGCCUCUGAACACCUCAGCUCAUGCCCCAUACCCUCAUUCAAUCACCACUGUGAUCCCUUUCCACCACUGUGUACAUUACCCUCUCAUUCCCAUUCCCCAUAAUAUUGUACUAUGAAUGUCUUUAUUAAAUGCUUUAGGUUAAAAAUCAUUUGUCUUUGAUGAUUUUUGAAACACAAUUUCUCAUCCCAGU